GUCCCAACAAGAAGAGGAAGCAUCAUGAAGAGGCUAGCAGGCGCUGUGCCGCGGUUUCUGUUUGCCCAGGUUUGCUGUGUGCGAGGGGCUGAUGUGGAGCAGAGUCCCCCAGCUCUGAGUCUCCAGGAGGGAGCCAGCUACACGCUUCAGUGGACAAAGCAGGAAGGAAGAUUAAAGGCCACGACAGUCCCUGCAGAACGCCGCAGCUCACUGCACAUUUCCUCUUCGCGGACCACAGACUCGGGCACUUACUUCUGUGCUGCGCAGCACGGUGCUCCCCAGGCACCUGCGGCCUCUACACGAACCCUCCUGGGGCUCAGCCCCUCCUCCAGCCUCAGUCACACCGUGAGGCCCCCACAGGGCAUUUGCGGUGCUUCAUGUUACUCACCUACAUCAGGGCAGUUUUACCCACAGAUACUUUUUGGCCCUACAGAUUACGGAGUUUGGUCUUUAUCUUCCCUUCUCAACAUGUAUCUCCUUCUGCGCUAG